UUUUAAUUUAAUUUAUAAUUUGAAAUUUUAAAUUAAAUUUGAUUGGGGCGAUGGAAAAAGAAUGAGUAUCUUUUUUAGUUUUAAAAAUUGGUUCCGUUUUUAACGAUUAAAUGAGAAAAAUACUCUAGGGAUAACAGCGUAAUAAUUUUGGAUAGUUCUUAUAGAUAAAAUAGUUUGCGACCUCGAUGUUGGAUUAGGAUUCUUUCUUGGCGAAGAAGUUAAGAAAAAGAAGUUUGUUCAACUUUUAAAUUCCUACAUGAUCUGAGUUCAGACCGG
rnacentral:rRNA from 1 species